rnacentral:rRNA from 1 species
CAGGGAUUGCCCUAGUAACGGCGAGUGAAGCGGCAACAGCUCAAAUUUGAAAUCUGGCGUCUUUGGCGUCCGAGUUGUAAUUUGCAGAGGGCGCUUUGGCAUUGGCAGCGGUCCAAGUUCCUUGGAACAGGACGUCACAGAGGGUGAGAAUCCCGUACGUGGUCGCUAGCCUUUACCGUGUAAAGCCCCUUCGACGAGUCGAGUUGUUUGGGAAUGCAGCUCUAAAUGGGAGGUAAAUUUCUUCUAAAGCUAAAUACUGGCCAGAGACCGAUAGCGCACAAGUAGAGUGAUCGAAAGAUGAAAAGCACUUUGGAAAGAGAGUUAAAAAGCACGUGAAAUUGUUGAAAGGGAAGCGCUUGCAGCCAGACUUGCCUGUAGUUGCUCAUCUAGGUUUCUACCUAGUGCACUCUUCUAUAGGCAGGCCAGCAUCAGUUUGGGCGGUUGGAUAAAGGUCUCUGUCAUGUACCUCUCUUCGGGGAGAACUUAUAGGGGAGACGACAUGCAACCAGCCUGGACUGAGGUCCGCGCAUCUGCUAGGAUGCUGGCGUAAUGGCUGUAAGCGGCCCGUCUUGAAACACGGACCAAGGAGUCUAACAUCUAUGCGAGUGUUUGGGUGUCAAGCCCGAGCGCGUAAUGAAAGUGAACGGAGGUGGGAACCUUUCGGGGUGCACCAUCGACCGAUCCUGAUGUCUUCGGAUGGAUUUGAGUAAGAGCAUAGCUGUUGGGACCCGAAAGAUGGUGAACUAUGCUUGAAUAGGGUGAAGCCAGAGGAAACUCUGGUGGAGGCUCGCAGCGGUUCUGACGUGCAAAUCGAUCGUCAAAUUUGGGCAUAGGGGCGAAAGACUAAU